UAGUCUAUUUAGGACAAAUCCUCAUCUAGCUAUAGAAGAUCCCCAACUAACUGUUUAUAAACUUCAGUUUUGGAUAAUCCAGUUGUAUUAUUCUUCCCAUAUUAGAGA
rfam:Populus trichocarpa isolate Nisqually-1 chromosome 1, whole genome shotgun sequence.